CUGUCAGGAUGGCUGGGGUGCAGCAGUGCGAGGUGGGAGACAAGUGACGAGAGGAACCAGAGUUUUUUUGCACCUGCUGGUCCAAAGUGGAUGAUAAAACUCAGGAGCUGGUUCCCACUGGAGCAGGAAACUUACAACGCUCCUCUGAACGCACUCCCAUGUCUCCCCCAGCCUGAGCUGAGAGGCUGCCGGCCUGUCUGCAGGGAAGUCAGCGGUGCAUGGUGAUUCCCCACGGGUCAUGUUUAAUUAAAUGGAUGGCUGUUGUGAAAAGAAUAUGCUGCUGAUGAGUAAUGCGGGCUCAGGAGUUACAGAUGGGAUGAUUAAACUCUCUUUGACACAGCUAUGACCUAUAACCUCAGAUACUGGAUGGAAUAAGAAAGAAAAAAAAAAUAGAACCUAGAAAGUCCUACUGUCAUUGAACUUCACAUGUUUUCCUAUCAAUGAGCACCACGGACAGCGACUAAAAGACAGCGAUCCAUAAAGGAAUGAUCGGUUUAAACACUUGAUCAUCAUCUAGUCACUCAUUUCUAUUAAACAAACCUCUGGACUCCUCUUGGCAUUGCCCCUGGCGGUGUCGCUCAAC